GACGAACGCUGGCGGCGUGCUUAACACAUGCAAGUCGAACGGAAAGGCCCUGCUUUUGUGGGGUGCUCGAGUGGCGAACGGGUGAGUAACACGUGAGUAACCUGCCCUUGACUUUGGGAUAACUUCAGGAAACUGGGGCUAAUACCGGAUAGGAGCUCCUGCUGCAUGGUGGGGGUUGGAAAGUUUCGGCGGUUGGGGAUGGACUCGCGGCUUAUCAGCUUGUUGGUGGGGUAGUGGCUUACCAAGGCUUUGACGGGUAGCCGGCCUGAGAGGGUGACCGGCCACAUUGGGACUGAGAUACGGCCCAGACUCCUACGGGAGGCAGCAGUGGGGAAUAUUGCACAAUGGGCGGAAGCCUGAUGCAGCAACGCCGCGUGCGGGAUGACGGCCUUCGGGUUGUAAACCGCUUUCGCCUGUGACGAAGCGUGAGUGACGGUAAUGGGUAAAGAAGCACCGGCUAACUACGUGCCAGCAGCCGCGGUGAUACGUAGGGUGCGAGCGUUGUCCGGAUUUAUUGGGCGUAAAGGGCUCGUAGGUGGUUGAUCGCGUCGGAAGUGUAAUCUUGGGGCUUAACCCUGAGCGUGCUUUCGAUACGGGUUGACUUGAGGAAGGUAGGGGAGAAUGGAAUUCCUGGUGGAGCGGUGGAAUGCGCAGAUAUCAGGAGGAACACCAGUGGCGAAGGCGGUUCUCUGGGCCUUUCCCGACGCUGAUGUGCGAAAGCGUGGGGAUCAAACAGGAUUAGAUACCCUGGUAGUCCACGCCGUAAACGAUGAGUGCUAAGUGUUAGGGGGUUUCCGCCCCUUAGUGCUGCAGCUAACGCAUUAAGCACUCCGCCUGGGGAGUACGACCGCAAGGUUGAAACUCAAAGGAAUUGACGGGGACCCGCACAAGCGGUGGAGCAUGUGGUUUAAUUCGAAGCAACGCGAAGAACCUUACCAAAUCUUGACAUCCUUUGACAACUCUAGAGAUAGAGCCUUCCCCUUCGGGGGACAAAGUGACAGGUGGUGCAUGGUUGUCGUCAGCUCGUGUCGUGAGAUGUUGGGUUAAGUCCCGCAACGAGCGCAACCCUUAAGCUUAGUUGCCAUCAUUAAGUUGGGCACUCUAAGUUGACUGCCGGUGACAAACCGGAGGAAGGUGGGGAUGACGUCAAAUCAUCAUGCCCCUUAUGAUUUGGGCUACACACGUGCUACAAUGGACAAUACAAAGGGCAGCGAAACCGCGAGGUCAAGCAAAUCCCAUAAAGUUGUUCUCAGUUCGGAUUGUAGUCUGCAACUCGACUACAUGAAGCUGGAAUCGCUAGUAAUCGUAGAUCAGCAUGCUACGGUGAAUACGUUCCCGGGUCU
rnacentral:rRNA from 1 species